GCAAGUCGAACGGUAGAGGGGGCAACCCCUUGAGAGUGGCGAACGGGUGAGUAAUAUAUCGGAACGUGCCCAGUCGUGGGGGAUAACGUAGUGAAAAUUACGCUAAUACCGCAUACGAUCUAAGGAUGAAAGCGGGGGAUCGCAAGACCUCGCGCGACUGGAGCGGCCGAUAUCAGAUUAGGUAGUUGGUAGGGUAAAGGCCUACCAAGCCAACGAUCUGUAGCUGGCCUGAGAGGACGACCAGCCACACUGGAACUGGGACACGGUCCAGACUCCUACGGGAGGCAGCAGUGGGGAAUUUUGGACAAUGGGCGAAAGCCUGAUCCAGCCAUUCCGCGUGCAGGAUGAAGGCCCUCGGGUUGUAAACUGCUUUUGUACAGAACGAAAAGGUUUCUAUUAAUACUAGGAGCUCAUGACGGUACUGUAAGAAUAAGCACCGGCUAACUACGUGCCAGCAGCCGCGGUAAUACGUAGGGUGCAAGCGUUAAUCGGAAUUACUGGGCGUAAAGCGUGCGCAGGCGGUUAUAUAAGUCAGAUGUGAAAUCCCCGGGCUCAACCUGGGAACUGCAUUUGAGACUGUAUAGCUAGAGUACGGUAGAGGGGGAUGGAAUUCCGCGUGUAGCAGUGAAAUGCGUAGAUAUGCGGAGGAACACCGAUGGCGAAGGCAAUCCCCUGGACCUGUACUGACGCUCAUGCACGAAAGCGUGGGGAGCAAACAGGAUUAGAUACCCUGGUAGUCCACGCCCUAAACGAUGUCAACUGGUUGUUGGGUCUUAACUGACUCAGUAACGAAGCUAACGCGUGAAGUUGACCGCCUGGGGAGUACGGCCGCAAGGUUGAAAACUCAAGGAAUUGACGGGGACCCGCACAAGCGGUGGAUG
rnacentral:rRNA from 1 species